rnacentral:lncRNA from 1 species
CUAGCUCCUUUACUCCUCCUCCUCGCCGCUCGCGACCCUUCCUCUUCUCCUCCUCCCUCCUUGCCGCUCGCCGCACGACCUCCUUCCUCGCCGGUCGCCGCUCCUCGCCGCACGCACGACCCCCUUCCUCGCCGCUCGCCGCUCCUCGCCACACGAUCCCCUUCCUUGCCGCUUGCUGCUCGCUGCUCCUCGCCGCACGCACGAGCCCCUUCCUCGCCA